AGUUUGGGUGGGAAAAAAGGAGGGGGGAUUCCAACUUGCCCCAAGCCCUGAUUGGCUCAGAUGGUCUUCCCAGGAGAGGAAGGAAGGGGGAAAUUCGAUGGUCCUCUCGGCAUUAAAUAGCCUAAGAGGAGCGUUACAGAAAAGGCUGGGGCGUGCAGGCUGGCAAGAUCCCUGAGUUGGCAGUGUGUGCGCAAGCAGGCUGGCCCUGUCUCAACUUGCCUCCUGGGCGAGCCGGCUCCUUGGGUGCCUGGCUACCUUGUCGUGAUCUGGAAUCCACGGCAGGGAAGGUGCUUGGGCAGCCUGGACUUCUUGGUCUUUGGCGCUGCCCCUUGCGGGGCUAAGGAAGAAGACUUGGCCGCUCCCUUCCAGAGACUGGCAGGUGAGAGGCCUUCAUGUCUCUUGUCCUGCCUGGUUUCGUGGGGGCAAUCCUAACCUACCACAAGUGAUCAGGAUCAUUAAGCAUUUCUUCUGUGUGGAAGCCAUAACUCCUGAUGGAACUAUCAUCACACGCAGACAUGUGCAUAGCACUUCGCUCAUGGGGUCGACAUUGUGCAGCCUGCUCCCUUCAGUGAUGGAACUCGCCUCUUUGGCAGGCCUCAGUACAACUCUGCUUUCUGUUACCAGCCAGUUUCUUCGUUGAUGAUGGUGUGAUAGUGGGCAACGGAAUCCCAAAAGCAGCUGUUUUUCUCUUAGUGUUCCAGCUGCACUUGGAUUUCGUUCCCUGCUCUCCUGCCUUGGCCUCCUGGAUUUUGUUUGUUCUCUUUAACUUGGAGCAUGGGAAAGAGGCUGAGGGAGGUGGGAUGGGGGGAGCUAUAGGAAGGAACAAGGGUUUUUUUUGUAAGAGUAAAGAUUUUAUUCUCCAUAAUAAUGAGAACUAGAAACUUGUUAUUUUUCAAAUGACAGCCAAGACCCUCGGUAUCCUGCAUACAUCACCAGAUUCUGUGCCAGAUGGUGACGACUGCUGUACUAAAUCACUGUGAUUAUGGGGGCUUCUUAACCAGCUAAUUGAGGCAAAGGUAAAAUAUGAUGACUGGGUAGCAAAUAUAUAUAUAUAAAAAGUAAAAAAAAUCUUGGAUUGUUUAGCAAAAACAGCUAGGUGACAAUUUGAGGAAAAGUCUGAAAAAUGAGGGGUGUGUGUGUACUUAGCUUUCUUCGUGUGCUGCAUGGAACCUAUGGAAUUGAUGACUAAGGGAUGUUGUAGUGACCACUACUAUGUAUGUAUUUUUUAAAAAAACCUAUUAACCCAUUGAUGGAGAAUAGGUCUAUCAGUGGCCAUCUGCUAGAACAGCUGAAAAUAGAACCUCCACACUUAGAAACACAAAGCCUCUAAGGAGCAGCAUAAACAAAAAGGGGCUGGAUAUCUCUGUUAUGCUCUUCCAUGUGAGUUCCCAGAGAGUAUCUGACUAAC